AGAUUGAACGCUGGCGGCAUGCCUUACACAUGCAAGUCGAACGGUAGAGUAGCAAUACUCGAGAGUGGCGAACGGGUGAGUAAUAUAUCGGAACGUGCCCAGUCGUGGGGGAUAACGUAGAGAAAUUUACGCUAAUACCGCAUACGAUCUAAGGAUGAAAGCGGGGGAUUCGCAAGAACCUCGCGCGAUUGGAGCGGCUGAUAUCAGAUUAGGUUGUUGGUGAGGUAAAAGCUCACCAAGCCGACGAUCUGUAGCUGGUUUGAGAGAACGACCAGCCACACUGGGACUGAGACACGGCCCAGACUCCUACGGGAGGCAGCAGUGGGAAUUUUGGACAAUGGGCGAAAGCCUGAUCCAGCAAUGCCGCGUGCAGGAAGAAGGCCUUGGUUGUAACUGCUUUUGUACGGAACGAAAGCUCUUUCUAAGUAAA
rnacentral:rRNA from 1 species